GUAGGGAAUAUUGGACAAUGGGGGGAACCCUGAUCCAGCCAUGCCGCGUGGAGGAAGACUGCCCUCUGGGUUGUAAACUCCUUUUAUAUGGGAAGAACCGUCCUCAUUAAUGAGUGACCUGACGGUACCAUAGGAAUAAGCACCGGCUAACUCCGUGCCAGCAGCCGCGGUAAUACGGAGGGUGCAAGCGUUAUCCGGAUUCACUGGGUUUAAAGGGUGCGUAGGCGGAUAAAUAAGUCAGUGGUGAAAUCAACGGGCUCAACCUGUUAACUGCCAUUGAUACUGUGUAGCUUGAAUAUGAGAGAGGUAGGCGGAAUGUUGCAUGUAGCGGUGAAAUGCUUAGAUAUGCUACGGAACACCGAUUGCGAAGGCAGCUUACUAUUUCGUAAUUGACGCUGAGGCACGAAAGCGUGGGUAGCGAACAGGAUUAGAAACCCGAGUAGUCC
rnacentral:rRNA from 1 species